UUUCUAAUACAGCCUUGGAUAAGUUUGUUGACAAUAGGCCUGAUUCGUUACAGAAAGCUGGCACUACUGAAGUACUGAUACCUCCUAAAUUACUAACCUCGAAUUUCUGAAUCCUAGUUAUAAGGUCUAAUUAAUUUCUUUUUGAAUGAAAUUAUUAUAAUAUAAAAUUAUUUGAGCGAUAAUAAAAAAUAUUUGAGCUAUAUUCAUAAAUUACGAUGGCUGCUCCAGCACAAAUGAGUGAAGCUGAUCAAAUAAAAACGUUUAAGGACUUUUUAGUGCAAUACAACAAACUAUCUGAACUUUGUUUUAAUGAUUGCAUUCACGAUUUCACAUCAAGAAAUCUGCGACCAUCUGAGGAAAAAUGCACAGUGAAUUGUAUGGAAAAGUAUUUGCGUACAAAUCAACGAGUAUCACAAAGAUUCCACGAGUUCCAAAUGAUAGCUAAUGAGAAUAUGCUUGCUUUAGCUCAGAAAUCAGGAAAUCCAAGCUAAAGUUUUAUAGUUAAUUUUAGUAUUAUCUUAUUAGUGUUUCUGUUUGAAUGUUGUCAAAUAAAAUGUUGUUGAACAAAGCCUGACAUUUACAUUAUAAGAGGCCUAUUACUUUUGUGUCCUACAGAAUCUUUAUGAUUAUAAUCCUUCCUUAGAAACUUAAAAUCUUGUUGCCCAUAAGUCAUGCUGUUAUCUAAUAUUCAAUUUUUAAAUUAUCAAAAUUUUUUUAUCACAAUUUUAGGUUUUUAAUGCAUUUAAGAAGCUAUCAAACAAUGUAUUCUUAUUCUUAUUAAAAUUUACUGAUAAGAAUAACUUAAAAUAUA
rnacentral:misc_RNA from 1 species